UCCGGAGGGUGCAAGCGUUAUCCGGAUUCACUGGGUUUAAAGGGUGCGUCGGUGGAUUAGUAAGUCAGUGGUGAAAUCUCCGGGCUUAACCCGGAAACUGCCAUUGAUACUAUUAGUCUUGAAUACCGUGGAGGUCAGCGGAAUAUGUCAUGUAGCGGUGAAAUGCUGAGAUAUGACAUAGAACACCAAUUGCGAAGGCAGCUGGCUACACGAAUAUUGACACUCAGGCACGAAAGCGUGGGGAUCAAACAGG
rnacentral:rRNA from 1 species